rnacentral:tRNA from 1 species
GCGGGCGUGGCGGAACUGGUAGACGCGCCGGGUUUAGGUCCCGGUGCCGCAAGGCAUGGAGGUUCGAGUCCUCUCGCCCGCA